GCUGAAUGAAACACGGCAUUUCUCAGUGCGUGCCUCUGCUGAAAAAGUCUCUCCAGCUCUGACAGUGGGGAGAGCAAUUUGUCACCUUUUGGCCCAGUGAUGACCACGUAAUGGUGGAGAAAGCAGCAAUCCCAGUGACUCUUCCAUCACACAGUGAAACUGGUCUCCAAUGACUGAAAUGGAUACUGCUGAACAUGACCAUGUUCACCAUCGGAUACAAUCUGGAACCAGUGCUUGAAACAUCUUCAGCCUCGUGUUAUUGUGUACACUCAUCCAAAGGCGGUACUCUUCUGGACUACUGCACUUUGCCAAAGUUCUGUUGGUAAUAGUCUUCUUCUUCUAGAGUUGUUCCCUUACUGUGUGACAAGCGUAGCAUGCUUCACUGGUACUAUGAGGGCAUCUUUUGUCAGCACAGGCUGCUGCAUGAUGGAGAU